rnacentral:rRNA from 1 species
UACGUAGGGGGCAAGCGUUGUCCGGAAUUAUUGGGCGUAAAGAGCGUGUAGGCGGUCCGGUAAGUCGGCUGUGAAAGUCCAGGGCUCAACCCUGGGAUGCCGGUCGAUACUGCCGGACUAGAGUUCGGAAGAGGCGAGUGGAAUUCCCGGUGUAGCGGUGAAAUGCGCAGAUAUCAGGAAGAACACCAACGGCGAAGGCAGCUCGCUGGGACGGUACUGACGCUGAGACGCGAAAGCGUGGGGAGCGAACAGG